GGGGGCGAUUGGUUUCGACAGGGAUGUAAGCGUCAAAGAGGCAUGCCGGGUUUUCUGCCGACCCGUAAAAAAGGCGGAACUAAACACAACUGCAGACUCUCACGAGUACGCAUUAGCCGCCUAGUGCGGCUACGUCAUCCGGGCUUUCCUCCUGCUUCAAGUCCGAGUAUGGCGUCAUUCAAGCAGGAUAGUCUUUCCAGACACCUAUAAGGAAAGGCGAAACCAUAUAGGCGUGGGUGGGCAAAAACCCGUCAGCGGGUGUUUUUCCACCCGAGAAUAAAACGCUGACUACGCAUGUAGGCUUUUUGAAUUCUUCUUCUUUGGACGCGGGUUCGAUUCCCGCCGCUUCCACCA
rnacentral:tmRNA from 1 species